rnacentral:rRNA from 1 species
GUGCCAGCCGCCGCGGUAAUACGAAGGGGGCUAGCGUUGUUCGGAGUUACUGGGCGUAAAGGGCGCGUAGGCGGCGCACCAAGUCAGGCGUGAAAGCCCUGGGCUCAACCCGGGAAUUGCGCUUGAGACUGGUGUGCUUGAGUACGGGAGAGGAUAGUGGAAUUCCCAGUGUAGAGGUGAAAUUCGUAGAUAUUGGGAAGAACACCGGUGGCGAAGGCGGCUAUCUGGACCGUAACUGACGCUGAGGCGCGAAAGCGUGGGGAGCAAACAGGAUUAGAUACCCGCGUAGUCC